rnacentral:tRNA from 1 species
UCCCUGGUGGCUUAGAUGGUAAAGCAUCUGCCUGUAACGCAGGAGACCUGGGUUGGGAAGAUCCUCUGGAGAA